UGACGCUAAUACCGCAUAUCUCCUGAGGGAGAAAGCAGUGAUGCGCCCACGGAGCAGCCUGCGUACGAUUAGCUUGUUGGUGGGGUAAAGGCUUACCAAGGCGACGAUCGUUAGCUGGUCUGAGAGGAUGAUCAGCCACACUGGAACUGAGACACGGCCCAGACUCCUACGGGAGGCAGCAGUGGGGAAUUUUCCGCAAUGGGCGAAAGCCUGACGGAGCAAUACCGCGUGAGGGAAGAAUGCCUAUGGGUUGUAAACCUCUUUUUUCAGGGAGGAAUCAAAUGACGUGUACCUGAAGAAUAAGCAUCGGCUAACUCCGUG
rnacentral:rRNA from 1 species